rnacentral:lncRNA from 1 species
ACUAAGUCAAGGUAUAAUGUACCUUCAUCUUCUUCUCUUACCUUGUUUUGAUAGCUUGAGUUUUGAUGGGGUUAUGUACAACUACUCAAGAUACACUAGUUAUACAUACCAUCAUGCAUGGAACUAAGUAUCUUGAGUGUUGGAUCUAAGGCUUAGAGGAAGAAAAUGAGCAUAUGUUCUCCAAGGGUGAAAACUCUUGUUUUUCUCCCACUAAAUCUUGUGUAACUCAAGUUCUACAACUUGGAAUUAUGAUCCGUCGAAGGGGGGGUGCUAGAUACAUGAGUUAUCUAGUAAACCCAAGU